CCAAAGUGUCCUAGGUACUCCUAGGGAGCCCUUUUUAUGUGUGUAUGUGUUUUUGGUAUAAAAGAUGUUUGCAAUAAAUAAAGUGUGAGGAUGAGAAGAGAACUCAUUAAUUAUAUUUUUGUGUUUGACAAUACCUUCGGACUUGUGCCUACGUACCAACAUAAAAAUAAGGGAUCAAAACCUCAUAGUUCGUGGUAAUAAUUUUAAAGUGAGUGGAUUGCUUUUAAUCAAAAUUUGAGUUUAAAAGAGGCACAAAGGGCCCAAAGGUUUGAAUGAGUGUUAGUUCUUUUUGUCUUUUGAAAUUUUAAGUCAAGAUGGUUAGAUUCAUUUACAAGUUUGAUUUAAAAAAAGAGUUUUAGAAAUGCAAUGGCUUAAGGCCAAAGUUUCUAAUUUGCAAUAAAGUAUAAGUUUAGAAAUUCCAAGCAAAGAAGGCUUUUGAAAAGGGGGAGAGAUUUUGAAAUUUAAGAAAAUGGGAGGAGAUGGAGAGACUAAUCCUAGGCAAAAACUUAAAAGUUAAGAGUUAAAAAGAUCUGACCAAUGGGAUGCAAUCCAAUAGACAAGAAUGUCAUAUAGAAUCCCACUUCUUCCUUUGGACUUUAAAUCAAGCAAUAUCAAUAAGCAAGUAGCAAUAUGAAGAGAAAGGCAUCAAAUAAAGAUAGCCACAUCCAAGCAAGCAACUUCACGGUCUUUUUCUUAAUCUUC
rnacentral:lncRNA from 1 species